UAUUAGUUUGUGUGUUUUAGUACAAUAUGUGAGUGAGUGUAUUGUUGGUGUCCCAAUCCCAUACGUUCAUGAGACACCAAUAGCAUAAACAAUCCACAAGACAGAAUAAAUCAUUGUUGAUGAUCCUUCCGCAGGUUCACCUACGGAAA
rnacentral:misc_RNA from 1 species